AUGUAUGCAGCGGUAACAGUAAUCCUACAGAUGCUUGUCAAUAAGAUAAGGAGCAUGAACAGCCAGAAGGAGCAAAUGGCCCCAUGGAGGAGAAGGCUAGAGGCAAAAAUCAUGGCAACAUGGAGAGAAGUCAGCCUGUUUGAGAUGUUUCAGUCAGGCUUUAGAGCUCACCACAGCACAGAAACGGCACUUCUUAAAGUUACUAAUGAUCUUCUCAUAGCUUCAGAUCAUGGACUGGUCUCUAUUCAACCUGAGCCUGAAGCUGGGGAGAGUGCCACAGCUGUGGAAGACGUCCUGCAUCGUCCCAGUGCCGAAGACAGCUACAGGCCGGUAGCUCUGACGUCUCAUCUGAUAAAGGCGCUGGAGAGACUCAUCCUCGAUCACCUGCGCCUACUGGUGAGCUCCUUCAUGGACCCGUUGCAGUUCGCCUACCAGCCGAGCAUCGGGGUAGACGAUGCCGUCAUCUACCUCCUUCACACCUCCCUCACUCACCUGGAGAAGGCUGGAAGGACUGUGAGGAUCAUGUUUUUUGAUUUCUCCACUGCAUUCAACACCAUCCAGCCCAGGCUGCUGGAGGACAGGCUGCAGGUAGCUGGGGUGGAUCACCACCUCACAACAAGGACUUUGGACUACCUCACACAAAGACCACAGUAUGUGAGGGUAAAGGGCUCCGAGUCAGAUCGGCUUCUCUGCAGCACUGGUGCCCCGCAGGGAACAGUUCUGGCUCCUUUCCUGUUCACCCUCUACACCGCGGACUUUUCACACAGUACAUCUUCAUGUCACCUCCAGAAGUUCUCUGACAACUCUGCUGCUGUCGGCCUCAUCACUGAUGGGGACGAUAUGGAGUACAGAGAACUUAUUCAGGACUUUGUGGACUGGAGCCUGCGGAACAACCUCCAGAUCAACGCUGGCAAAACCAAGGAGCUGGUGGUGGAUUUCCGCAGGCGUAACAACCCCCCGCCAGCACCAGUGAACAUCCUGGGAACGGAUGUUGACAUCGUGGAGUCGUACAAGUACCUGGGUGUUCACUUAAACAAUAACCUGGACUGGACACACAACACAGACGCCCUUGUCUAG
rnacentral:lncRNA from 1 species